AUACGUAGGUGACAAGCGUUAUCCGGAUUUACUGGGCGUAAAGGGCGUGUAGGCGGUCUUGCAAGUCAGAAGUGAAAUUCCUGAGCUUGACUGCGGGGCUGCAUUUGAAACCCCCAUUCUUGAGUGUUGGAGAGGUAAGUGGCAUUCCUAGUGUAGCGGUGAAAUGCGUAGAGAUCGGGAGGAACACCAGUGGCGAAGGCGGGUAACUGGACUGCAACUGACGCUGAGGCGCGAAAGUGUGGGGAGCAAACAGGAUUAGAUACCCUGGUAGUCCACACUGUAAACGAUGAAUGCUAGGUGUAAGAGGUAUCGACCCCUUUUGUGCCGGAGUUAACACAAUAAGCAUUCCGCCUGGGGAGUACGGCCGCAAGGUUGAAACUCAAAUGAAUUGGCGGGG
rnacentral:rRNA from 1 species